GACGAACGCUGGCGGCGUGCCUAAUACAUGCAAGUCGAACGCUGAAGGAGGAGCUUGCUUCUCUGGCUGAGUUGCGCACGGGUGAGUAACGCGUAGGUAACCUGCCUGGUAGCGGGGGAUAACUAUUGGAAACGAUAGCUAAUACCGCAUAAGAGUAGAUGUUGCAUGACAUUUGCUUAAAAGGUGCAAUUGCAUCACUACCAGAUGGACCUGCGUUGUAUUAGCUAGUUGGUGAGGUAACGGCUCACCAAGGCGACGAUACAUAGCCGACCUGGGAGGGUGAUCGGCCACACUGGGACCGGGACAAGGGCCAGACUUCUACGGGAGGCAGCAGGAGGGAAACUUCGGAAAUGGACGGAAGUCUGACCGAACAACGCCGCGGGAGUGAAGGAGGUUUUCGGAUCGGAAAGCUCUGUUGUAAGAGAAGAACGAGUGGGAGAGUGGAAAGUUCACACUGUGACGGUAUCUUACCAGAAAGGGACGGCUAACUACGUG
rnacentral:rRNA from 1 species